rnacentral:rRNA from 1 species
AUACGUAGGUGGCAAGUGUUGUCCGGAUUUACUGGGUGUAAAGGGCGUGUAGGCGGAGAUGCAAGUCAGGAGUGAAAUCUAGGGGCUCAACCCCUAAACUGCUUUUGAAACUGUAUCCCUUGAGUAUCGGAGAGGCAGGCGGAAUUCCUAGUGUAGCGGUGAAAUGCGUAGAUAUUAGGAGGAACACCAGUGGCGAAGGCGGCCUGCUGGACGACAACUGACGCUGAGGCGCGAAAGCGUGGGGAGCAAACAGGAUUAGAUACCCUGGUAGUCCACGCUGUAAACGAUGAAUACUAGGUGUGGGGGGACUGACCCCCUCCGUGCCGCAGUUAACACAAUAAGUAUUCCACCUGGGGUGUACGAUCGCAAGAUUGAAACUCAAAGGAAUUGACGGGG